UUGACGGGGCCCGCACAAGCGGAGGAGCAUGUCGGUUUAAUUCGAUGAUACGCGAGGAACCUUACCUGGGCUCGAACGUAAGAUGACUGUAGGUGAAAGCUUACAUCUCUUCGGAGCAUUUUACGAGGUGCUGCAUGGUUGUCGUCAGCUCGUGCCGUGAGGUGUCGGGUUAAGUCCCAUAACGAGCGCAACCCCUACCUUUAGUUGCCAUCAGGUUAAGCUGGGGACUCUAAAGGAACUGCCUACGCAAGUAGUGAGGAAGCGGGGAUGACGUCAAAUCAGCACGGCCCUUACGUCCAGGGCUACACACGUGCUACAAUGGCCGAUACAGAGGGCAGCUACCUGGUGACAGGAUGCAAAUCUCCAAAGUCGGUCUCAGUUCGGAUCGGAGUCUGCAACCCGACUCCGUGAAGUUGGAUUCGCUAGUAAUCGCGCAUCAGCCAUGGCGCGGUGAAUACGUUCCCGGGCCUU
rnacentral:rRNA from 1 species